rnacentral:rRNA from 1 species
UACGGGGGGAGCAAGCGUUGUUCGGAUUUACUGGGCGUAAAGGGCGCGUAGGCGGUCAGCACAAGUCUGUUGUGAAAUCUCCGGGCUUAACUCGGAAAGGUCAACUGAUACUGUGCGACUAGAGUGCAGAAGGGGCAACUGGAAUUCUCGGUGUAGCGGUGAAAUGCGUAGAUAUAGAGAGGAACACCUGCGGCGAAGGCGGGUUGCUGGGCUGACACUGACGCUGAUGCGCGAAAGCCAGGGGAGCGAACGGG